GCUGCAGUACCUGGUGUUCCUGUUUAUUCACUUCACAUGCAAGUUGAAAGUGACCCCAGGCAAAGAACGGGACAGACCGGCCUCUUCACCUAGGCCUCUGAUCCAGAGCCUUGUGUUCUAGGUCUACCUGCACCCUUUCCCAUGAUAUCCACACACCUGUCAACAUCCAAGUCCUGAAAAACCAUGGGCUUUUUGGCCUCAAUGAGGCCCAGCUUCGGAUUCUGCUUUUACAGAACGACCCCUGCCUUUUACCAGAGGUCUGUUUGUGCUACAACAAAGGUGAAGCCCUGUAUGGCUACUGCAUCCUCAAGGACAAAUGCAACAAGUUUCAUGUGUGCAAGUCCUUUGUCAGGGGAGAGUGCAGGCUUCAGAAAUGCAAACGGUCCCACCAGCUCAUCAACGCGGCAUCCCUGAAGCUGCUGGAGGACCAAGGACUGAAUGUGUCCAGUGUCGUUAAUUUCCAGAUCAUCUCUACCUACAGGCACGAGAAGCUGCACAAGAUGCUUGAAAAUAAAGAUAAUUCAGCUUCUUCUGUUGAGCACUCACCGGGCCUUGAGAAGCAAGGAAGACCGGUUCCUGGGGCUGCAGAAGCCCGUCCCCCGGCCUCCGGCCCUGCCCAGUCGGCCAAGAAGCCAUGUGCAGGGAAACCGUGAGGACGUCGCGGAAGUAAGAAGAAGCUCAAGAAGCUCCUCCAGUUGGAAGGUCUGGAAACAAAGCUUCCGUGUUGAGCUUUGAUUUGUAGCUAUUCAUUCAUUUAAUUAUUUCUUUAAAAUACCUACCUCACAGGGUGUCGUGAGAAUGAAAGAAGAAGGAAAAGGAGACGUUGUCAGAUUUGGAGGAUAAGGUCGGGGAUGAGGUUGGACCUUGAGCAGGCAAAGAGAGGGUAAACCUGAGUACAGAUGGGUCCGUGCUGGACAAGGCCUGGGAUGGCAGCUUCUGCCUGCAGUUCCUGAGAGCUCUCCCGGGCUGGCUGGCAGAGCUCGUAAACAGGCAGGUUUCGCUGACUUGCUCUGUGACCCAGCCACAUGUUGGUCUGCAUGCCCAUAUAUACAGUUUGGGUACGUCAACUUCAUCAGCAUCUUCUCAUAUUUGUUCACAUUUAUCACGCAUCAUCAUUUUUAUGCACAGAUACAUUCGUAUAUCAUAGUUUUCUUAACUGUUUCCCUUAUCCUGGGAAAUUUUGAUUCUUUCUAACGAAUUUGGAAUAUAACUCUUUUCUUUAAAUCCACACAAUAUUGAAUUUUUAAAGUUAGUCUUUUGCUUAGCUUAUAGUUGCAAAAUGAUACUGUUUUUUGAUUUGCAUUUCUUUAGGUUUAUGUGCAAGUGAAUAUUUUUAUGUGUCUGCUUUCUGUAGGUCUUUAUUUUGUGCAUUUUGCACAUGCUCUUUAAUUACAGGGGCCUGUAAUUACCUCUUUUGUGCCAAUGUGGGAUGGCCUUUAGUUAGGCUCCUUAAUUUUUAUGAAAGGCUGUCAGCCAUACUGUGCUCAUAUAAUAUUCACCUCUUGUGGUUGCAUCCUCGGGCAACACAGAGAGUAUAUAACUUUUGGGUGCUCGCCAGAGAUUCCUACCUCACUUCUACUCUGCUCUUACGAAACUUUGUCCAAAGCCCAAUUGCUAUGGUUUGAAGGAUGUGUAGUUCAUCCAUUCCUCAAAAUUGUAUUCAUUCUUUUAUGGAUCAGGAUGGACCAUCAGAGAUCUAUAUAUCUCGCCCACUUCAUGUUCACUUCCCCCUCCCUCUCCUCUCUUCCCCCACCCAGAUGUCUUCAUCCAGUGAUGCUUAGAUGUUUGGUUCUUUGUUUCCAUCAAAGGGUACCACAGAGAAGCACUUUAUGGAACCCUUCCCUGUGUUUGCUGUCAUAAUAUCCCCAAAUGUCUGUGUGGAGUGUUUUUAGAAAUACUUAACUGUCCUGCAAUAGCAUGGCUUUUGAGAAAUAGGGGCAAGGUAGUGAGUUUUUCAUAAGGCUAACUUUAUUUAAUUUAGAAAUAUUUUUGUCGUGAAGUUCUGUCUUUUGCAUUGGGGGUGGUAUUCAAAAAAUGUCUUUUGUAAAGGGAGAAAUUGCUGUGUUUUCUCCUAAUGGACAGUAAAAGUCAUGCAACUUUUGUUAAACUUUUCAGUUUGGUUGUCAACAAUGGUGUUUCUGAAGCCCUCACAGCUUGCAUAUCUUGUUUCUUCUUCCUAGUUCUGAUUUCUCCUGGUGCUAAUUUUUAAAAAAAUAUUUUUACAUUUUAUUAUUAUCAUUAUUUACAUUAUAUCAUUGUACUACAUAUAUUUUUGUUGUAAGCCAUCUUCAGUCCUUAAUGGAAACAGUGUAGUAUGUAAAUGCAUAUCCUUUAUAUUAAGAGACUUGGUAGACUUAUAUUAUCGUGUUUCUUUCAUAUAUCUUAUAAUUAUGUGCUUAUACAUGAAGUUAUUGACCCUUUGUAAUCUUUGUUGCAAUAUUUUAUUCAAUUCUAUAAUAUUUCAUUUUAACUUUAGUUCUUUGGUAUUCAUUCUGUAGAAAUACUUUAUGUAAUCGUACCUGAUGAUCAGCUGUUACAGAGUUAGACUCAGAGAUAAGUUUUCUUUGGCAAUUUAUUGGCCCUUAUGAGAUGAAGCUAUAUAUCUCUAGGCUCCACAAAUUCAAUAUAUCCUAAAUUGAAGGAUUACGUUUUCUCCAAGCUGUUCUUCCCCCCUCCCCCCAUUUUUUUUUUAAAUUUUGGAGUUUUCACCAUCUAAUGACUUAAGCCCCAAAACUGCAGAGUGCCCUAAUACUCUUCUCUCUCUUUAUUCCCAGUGUCAAAUUGGUUACCUAAUGUUGGAGAUUAUUUUCCCCUCGAAAAUCUCUCAAAUUUUUAUCCUUCUCUGUGCCUUUCUUCACAUUCCCUACACACUGCCUUGUUUAAAACCCUCUUAUAGAACUCAGUGGUUUUCAAGUCAUGUCUUGCGAGUGUUUUGUGGGAGGUGCUAGGUUACAAUGGUGGUUGCCCCAUUUUAAUUGUUAAUGUAAUAGACUUUUGUGGAUUUCACUGAUCUCCUUACCACCCUUCUCUCCCUCUGCCUUCCCUUCUGCUGCCUGGUUGAUCUUUUGAAAUCCAGUCCUAAUCAUAUCGCUUUUUCCUGCCAUUACCUUUAUUGGUCCCCAUCACGUAGGGAACGAGUCAUAAACUCAGACGGCUACAGGGACCAGAAAGGUGAGUUACUGGAUGAAAUGAGCUGAAUGUAAGAGGAAGGGGGCAAAGAGGAAGUGCUGUGGCAAAUUUUCCCGUCGAAAAGGGGUCUCUGCCUCUCGUUUUCAUGUGGGAACUUGGUCCAGUUUGUCAGAUUGUCCAUUUUGACAAAAGAAGCCAGAAAGCCAGAUUUUCUGAUCUUUAAAUAUUAAGUUUUUAAAAUGCAGGCCAGUAUUGUGUGUACUGACCUACUUGCGGUUUUGGAAUGGGCCGUUUGAUCCUGUGACUCUGCGUUUGUAAGUUCCCUCCCUCUCGGUGUCACCCUUCUUCCCUUCACCUGCCUUAAAACCUGGUAAAAUUAGAUUCUUUAAACGCCGGGUUAACCUUUCCUGACCCCAAGAGAGUGCUCAGCUCUCUAGCAUAGCACUUACUUCCUUACAUUGCAGUGCCUUGUGCUUUUAUUCCCUAGCUUUGAGCAAAAACAUUAUUUAUUCUUCUUGGCAAUUCUCACACUUGGUAGUUAGAUAUUUUUGCCAUGUAACGAGUUAAACUCUGCAUUUGAAUCAAUUGAAUCAGCAUUAUAUUGGUCUUCAUUGUUCUUUUUUCUUCCCACACAUAUAUUUUUAAUUUUCAAAAAAAUCUUUUUCUCCCUAAGGAAUGUGUUACAUAAGGUGUAAAGAUCUUUUUAAUGCUUCAAUUUGAAUUGUCUAGGUCGAAAAUGAACACUUUAAGAAAAUAUUUGUCUUUUAGUGAAUUGCCUUUGUUCUAACAGCGUUUUUUUCCCCCCUAAAAUCAUAGCUGCAAAAAUAUUUGUCUUAUGUAUCUAUUUUGUGUUAAAUAAAA